UGGGGAAUAUUGCACAAUGGGCGCAAGCCUGAUGCAGCCAUGCCGCGUGUGUGAAGAAGGCCUUCGGGUUGUAAAGCACUUUCAGCGGGGAGGAAGGCGAUAAGGUUAAUAACCUUGUCGAUUGACGUUACCCGCAGAAGAAGCACCGGCUAACUCCGUGCCAGCAGCCGCGGUAAUACGGGGGGUGCAAGCGUUAAUCGGAAUUACUGGGCGUAAAGCGCACGCAGGCGGUCUGUCAAGUCGGAUGUGAAAUCCCCGGGCUCAAACUUGGAACUGCCUUUGAAACUGGCAGGCUAGAGUCUUGUAGAGGGGGGUAGGAUUCCAGGUGGAGCGGUGAAAUGCGUAGAGAUCUGGAGGAAUACCGGUGGCGAAGGCGGCCCCCUGGACGAAGGCUGACGCUCAGGUGCGAAAGCGUGGGGAGCAAACAGG
rnacentral:rRNA from 1 species